rnacentral:rRNA from 1 species
UACGGGGGGGGCAAGCGUUGUUCGGAAUUACUGGGCGUAAAGGGCGCGUAGGCGGCCUGCUAAGUCGGAUGUGAAAUCCCUCGGCUCAACCGAGGAACUGCAUCCGAUACUGGCGGGCUUGAAUCCGGGAGAGGGAUGUGGAAUUCCAGGUGUAGCGGUGAAAUGCGUAGAUAUCAGGAAGAACACCAACGGCGAAGGCAGCUCGCUGGGACGGUACUGACGCUGAGACGCGAAAGCGUGGGGAGCGAACAGG